AUCCAACAAGAAAUAAAUCUUAAGACUACUUAAAUCCUAAUACUUCCACAACCGAUACAAACUUUAAACCAUUAUAGAUCUUUUACAAGAAGCUACCUACAGAGGAUGCAAGACUACCAAUUUACUGCUCUAUCACCUAUGAACUUAAUUGAUAUGCUACUGGAGAAAGGCCCUAUGCCGGACCAACUUAUGCAGAUACUAGACUUCAAAUCACUAUACUCAUCGAUACGGCUUGAACCCGCUUGUCUCUUUCUUUAUCGCUUUCUACUACAGCACCUCUCAGACCAAUGCUCCGACCCAGGUUUAAUAAGGACAAUAUGCCAUACUGUAGUUCAUAGGUCAUAUUUCGUGUUUAAUGAUAGAAUCUACGAGCAGACCAGAAGUGUACCCA
rnacentral:lncRNA from 1 species